GGCACGUUUGCGCCGCCCCUCGCUCGCGGCCUCGCGCCGUCGCGCGCAAGCGCGGCUGCGCGGCCUGCACCCCUGCGACGGUGCUGCUAGGCAGGGUGCUGGCGUGCUCCUGCUGGCUGCUGCCGUGUUGGACUGAAUCGAGCCGAGGAGGUGCUUGUGCUGCAUAGCUGCAGCCUGCAGUGGCCAGGGGCCACGGCCAGCGCCCAGCACACCAGGUAUGAAUUAAUUUCUUUAUUCAAUUUCUAUUUAUUUCUAUGAUUCAGCCAUAUCCAUUAUAAAGACAGAUUUGCCUAGUAAAAUGGGUGAUGAAUGGCUGAAUGACUUGAUGAUUUGCUAUAAUGAGAAGGAGAUAUUUAGAAAGAUUGGUAAUGAAAAGAUCAAAAAGAGAUUUGAAGAGAUGAAAAAUCGUCGUAUAUUAUUGCCUAAAAAAUUGAUGAUUGCUUCUUCGGAUGAAUAAUGUGUACUGGUCACCGUCCCGCCCGGCGUCUAUUAGUUUCGUAACUUGGUUUUUUGGUAUGGAUAAACCACAUUCUUUAUUUUUCAUGAUGUAUUUUGUGAUUUUCAUUAUCCAUCGAUGUUUUAAUAUAAGACUACUUCAAACUAUUAUAUUUGUCUUUGUUGAGA